GAUGAACGCUGGCGGCGUGCCUAAUACAUGCAAGUCGAGCGAACGGACGAGAAGCUUGCUUCUCUGAUGUUAGCGGCGGACGGGUGAGUAACACGUGGAUAACCUACCUAUAAGACUGGGAUAACUUCGGGAAACCGGAGCUAAUACCGGAUGAUAUUUUGAACCGCAUGGUUCAAAAGUGAAAGACGGUCUUGCUGUCACUUAUAGAUGGAUCCGCGCUGCAUUAGCUAGUUGGUAAGGUAACGGCUUACCAAGGCAAGGAUGCAUAGCCGACCUGAGAGGGUGGUCCGCCACACUGGAACUGAGGAACGGUCCAGACUCCUACGGGAGGCAGCAGUAGGGACUCUUCCGCAAUGGGCGAAAGCCUGACGGAGCAACGCCGCGUGAGUGAUGAAGGUCUUCGGAUCGUAAAACUCUGUUAUUAGGGAAGAACAUAUGUGUAAGUAACUGUGCACAUCUUGACGGUACCUAAUCAGAAAGCCACGGCUAACUACGUG
rnacentral:rRNA from 1 species